rnacentral:tRNA from 1 species
GGGUUCAAGUCCCUCUAUCCCCC